GGGUCCGCACAAGCGGUGGAGCAUGUGGUUUAAUUCGAUGAUACGCGAGGAACCUUACCAGGGCUUAAAUGGGAAAUGACAGGGCAGAGACGCCCCCUUCUUCGGACAUUUUUCAAGGUGCUGCAUGGUUGUCGUCAGCUCGUGCCGUGAGGUGUCAGGUUAAGUCCUAUAACGAGCGCAACCCCUACCGUUAGUUGCCAGCGUGUAAUGACGGGGACUCUAACGGAACUGCCGGUGCAAACCGUGAGGAAGGUGGGGACGACGUCAAAUCAUCACGGCCCUUACGUCCUGGCCACACACGUGCUACAAUGGUAGGUACAGAGGGAAGCCACCCCGCGAGGGGGAGCGGA
rnacentral:rRNA from 1 species